GAAAUGCGAUAACUAGUGUGAAUUGCAGAAUUCCGUGAAUCAUCGAGUCUUUGAACGCACAUUGCGCCCCCUGGUAUUCCGGGGGGCAUGCCUGUCCGAGCGUCAUUGCUGCCCAUCAAGCGCGGCUUGUGUGUUGGGUCGUCGUCCCCUCUCCGGGGGGGACGGGCCCCAAAGGCAGCGGCGGCACCGCGUCCGAUCCUCGAGCGUAUGGGGCUUUGUCACCCGCUCUGUAGGCCCGGCCGGCGCUUGCCGAACGCAAAUCAAUCUUUUUCCAGGUUGACCUCGGAUCAGGUAGGGAUACCCGCUGAACUUAAGC
rnacentral:misc_RNA from 1 species